UGGAGUUGGAGUUGGAGUUGGAGGUGGAGUGGGUUUUCCUAUCGUUAGAGCCUAGCCGUGGGUUCGGGCUGAGGCCCAUUCUAGUACACACUAAAGUCGCAAUUCGCAAUUCUGUGUUGCGGCUUUAACGAUUUGGAGUAGCCUCCGCUGCAAAUCACAAGCAAUAGCGCUGGCGGAGACGGAAAGGGCUUGAAAGUGAAGAAGGAGAUGAAGGACAAUCUAUCUGAUAAAGACAGGAUCUUCGAUUCAUAUGGGUUCAAAUUUUCUUCAGACAUUUCUUGUUGAUCAUACUCAUUUUAGCUUCUGGAAUUGAUACAGAAAUGAAAUUUCAUUAUUAGAAGAAGAUGACUUGAAGUAGCAAUUGAACAAACUGAGAAACAGUGUGCAGAGAUAAAUUCUGAGCUGAAGGACAAUAAUUAAAAUCCAGGCGCUUUACAGAAUUGGGGGAACCGAUUGAAAAUGACAGAGUGGGGAACUACACCAUCAUGCAGAGUUUCAACAAGCAGGAGAAUUGGACAAAAGCUGUACAGUACACCCUCUGUAAUCUCGAAUGGGCUCUCUACUGGUUUGUUGGGAACACUAACUUUCAGCCUCUUUCUACAAUGGUCUCCUCCCAUACUGGCAGCUAGCCUGCGUCAUUGAAAGUACUCAGCCAGGGGGAGUCGAGACCAGGUCAAGGGCAGGGGCCUAAAGUCUUGAAAAGGCAAAGACUCCAAGAAGAAGUCAAGCCUAAGGCCAAGAACAGCGAGCUUAAGAUCAGGAGCCAAAGCGAACCGAUAAGAAAGAAGGAAGGCUUCAUCUGCUCUAAGGCAGAGCCACUGCCCUAAAUUCAAAAUGGAAACAGUGAGAUUUCUUCAAGUUCCUGCAAUAGGCUUGUCGUACACAACAUGCUAUAGACCCUAAUCUGAUCUUUGAAACCCACCAAACUCAUGAUAUUGCCAAAAAAGAAAAGAAAUGAUAAUCUGUAUAUAGCAAUAUACAUGCAAAUCAAUAGUUUGUGCAUGGUCAGGAAAUUGGUUGCUGUAUAUUAAAGGCAUUUAAUACAAUGAUUUUUCUCUCAA